UCCGGAAUGGUCUAACGGUCAUGAUUUCCGCUUGUCAUUCUUCAUAGUAACAAGCGCGGGAGACCAGGGUUCGACUCCCUGUUCCGGAG